AGUGGGGAAUAUUGGACAAUGGGCGAAAGCCUGAUCCAGCCAUGCCGCGUGUGUGAAGAAGGCUUUCGGGUUGUAAAGCACUUUCAGUGGGGAAGAAAUCCUCGGGGCCAAUACCCUCGAGGGAGGACAUCACCCACAGAAGAAGCACCGGCUAACUCCGUGCCAGCAGCCGCGGUAAUACGGAGGGUGCGAGCGUUAAUCGGAAUUACUGGGCGUAAAGCGCGCGUAGGCGGCGUGAUAAGCCGGUUGUGAAAGCCCCGGGCUCAACCUGGGAACGGCAUCCGGAACUGUCAGGCUAGAGUGCAGGAGAGGAAGGUAGAAUUCCCGGUGUAGCGGUGAAAUGCGUAGAGAUCGGGAGGAAUACCAGUGGCGAAGGCGGCCUUCUGGACUGACACUGACGCUGAGGUGCGAAAGCGUGGGUAGCAAACAGGAUUAGAUACCCUGGUAGUCCACGCCGUAAACGAUGUCGACUAGCCGUUGGGGUCCUUGUGACCUUUGUGGCGCAGUUAACGCGAUAAGUCGACCGCCUGGGGAGUACGGCCGCAAGGUUA
rnacentral:rRNA from 1 species